rnacentral:rRNA from 1 species
GACGAACGCUGGCGGCGUGCUUAACACAUGCAAGUCGAACGAUGAAGCCUUAGCUUGCUUUGGUGGAUUAGUGGCGAACGGGUGAGUAACACGUGAGCAACGUGCCCAGGACUCUGGAAUAACCGCGGGAAACCGUGGCUAAUACCGGAUAGGUGCCGAGGCCGCAUGGUCUUCGGUUGGAAAGUUUUUGCGGUUCUGGAUCGGCUCACGGCCUAUCAGCUUGUUGGUGGGGUAAUGGCCUACCAAGGCGACGACGGGUAGCCGGCCUGAGAGGGUGACCGGCCACACUGGGACUGAGACACGGCCCAGACUCCUACGGGAGGCAGCAGUGGGGAAUAUUGCACAAUGGGCGCAAGCCUGAUGCAGCAACGCCGCGUGGGGGAUGACGGCCUUCGGGAUGUAAACCUCUUUUAGUAGGGAAGAAGCGCAAGUGACGGUACCUGCAGAAAAAGCACCGGCUAACUACGUG